rnacentral:misc_RNA from 1 species
AAACUUAUUAAGUUACAUGUCUAUUAGUUGUAUUUUUAGGCAAUUGCCUUUUUGAUUGUAAACAUUAUUGGUUUGUUGGCUGUAGUUGGAUUUGCAGCAUGUUUUGUAAUUAUUUUGUAUGCGUGGGUAAUGGUCUCGUCAUCAAUAAAUGAUAACUAUUGCCUCACACAAUCCCAAGCCUGUAAUUGCUUUAAUGGAGAGAUCAGGUUCUUUAAAAUUGUAAUGUGUUAGCGUCUAUUAAACCUCUUCUUAUUGCAUUCGCCGUUGGUGCAACACUAUCUGGAUUUAUUGCAAUAGUAUGUUCGUAUAUCAGCUAUGUUUCUCUGUGCAAUACAGAACAUGUAAACACUGGAUUUAUUCUUGGUACUCCCAGUAGUCAAUAUGGACAGUUUCUCCAAACACCUGAUUUUUUUUAACCAGCAAUCGUCUUAUAGAGGGCAGGUUCCAUUUAGCUCUACGGUAACAAUUAAUUUUUACAAGAAUUUUUGCUCUACCGAUAAGGCGCCCCUGAUUGACAAACGCGGAGUUUGAAUAAAAGUUGACGAUUUUUCAAAAUGUAUUUGUAUUUUAAACUUAUUUAUAUCUCCAACAGAGAGGUUUUUUAAAAGGUAUUAGGUUAUUCUUACUUGAGUUUUGUUUUUAUAACAACAAAGUUUUUCUUGAGAUAUC